GACUCCUACGGGAGGCAGCAGUGGGGAAUUUUGGACAAUGGGCGAAAGCCUGAUCCAGCAAUGCCGCGUGUGUGAAGAAGGCCUUCGGGUUGUAAAGCACUUUUGUCCGGAAAGAAAUCCUUGAUUCUAAUACAGUCGGGGGAUGACGGUACCGGAAGAAUAAGCACCGGCUAACUACGUGCCAGCAGCCGCGGUAAUACGUAGGGUGCAAGCGUUAAUCGGAAUUACUGGGCGUAAAGCGUGCGCAGGCGGUUUGCUAAGACCGAUGUGAAAUCCCCGGGCUCAACCUGGGAACUGCAUUGGUGACUGGCAAGCUAGAGUAUGGCAGAGGGGGGUAGAAUUCCACGUGUAGCAGUGAAAUGCGUAGAGAUGUGGAGGAAUACCGAUGGCGAAGGCAGCCCCCUGGGCCAAUACUGACGCUCAUGCACGAA
rnacentral:rRNA from 1 species